rnacentral:lncRNA from 1 species
GAGGUUGAGGGGACAAUAUUGACAGAGCAAUUCAACACUCAAGAGUCAGGUAUGAUAACUUUACUGUAGCUUGGAAGACAGAAAUUGCGUUUGCAGUAGAGCUGGAUUUCAGGAACAAUAGAACUGAUGGAGUGGUGGUGUGCGCUAAACACUUCCAAACGGGUCCUUAAUCAACAUUUUUCUUUACAGUCACAUCUCAAGCAGCUAUCGUUUCCUCUCAUUUUACUUAAUGCUCCUACUCAAGUCGUGGAGCCCAGUAUUCUGACAUAUUCCUGUCAUCGUGCUUCAAGAAUGGGAGUACACUUGAUGUAGUCAUAUACUUCUGGGCCAGAUUCCUUUUGGCAAGUGGUUUUGGAGACAAGAGAUGUGUCUUUAGUAAAGGUGAUAGUUUCUUGGAAACACAAUUAAAUUUUAAAUGAAUUAAUGACAGAUGCACAAAGAAAUAUGAUUAAAUUAUACUGAAGAGACAAUUCUAAGGUAAUUUAUAUUUGCAAGAAGAACUUUUUUGAAUAAGAAUAAUAUGGAUUAGGAAUGGUAAUUAGAUAGGGAUCACAAAGGAUUCCAAAUGCAAUGUGAGGCUUCGUCCAUUCCCAAACUUCAAUUGCUGUCUCUAUGUUAACAAUUCCCAAGUCCACAUUUCUGUUCCAAACUUUCCUUCCAAGCCACAGAUUCUCAUUUCCAACUCUGUACAGCAAGUCUUAUGCAACUUGACUAAAACUGAACCCAUGAUUUAUUUUUAUCCACUUCUCAUCCUCCUAUGUUUUUUAUCAUUUUAUCCAGUCUUCCAAACUAGAAAACGAGAGGUCAAAAUAUACUCCUCUACCUCCCUCAUCAACAGCCCUAAAAAUUGCUCACCAAAUUUGGUUAAUUUUAUGCCAGGAAAUACGUCUUAAAUCUGAGCUCUCCAUUUUAUUCCAACUGCCACUGUUAAUUCAGACCUUCCUCAUCUCGUGCCUGGAUCAACUCAAUGGACUUCAUUUAAUAACUAGUUUCUCUACCACCAGUUCCAUUUCAUCUGAUUACAUCCUUGUCCCUAUUGCUGAUUAUACUAAUUAUUUUUUCCAAAUUCUCCUGGAACCUAUUCUUCUGCUUAAAUCUCACUGUCUCUCUGUUGUCUAAAAGAUAAAUUCUAAAUUCUAACAUUGCACUUGUGAUCCUUCAUCUUUGACCCCCGUCUACUUCUCCAGCCCCACCACUUGCAACCCCCUCCAUGCAGCCCUUCUGUUCAGAAUGCAUGGCCUCUUACAAUUCCUUAACUUUGCUAUAUUUACUUGUAUUUCAAUGCCUCUACACAGGUUCUUUCUUCUGUCUGGAGUUCCCUUCUGCACAUUUUCCACCUAGCAAACUCCUAUUUGUCUUUUCUUUUUUUUGGAUGAGGAAGAUUGGCCCUAAGCUAACGUCCAUUUCAAAUCUUCUUCCUUUUGCUUGAGUAAGAUUGUCCCUAAGCUAACAUCUGUGCCAGUCUUCCUCUAUUUUGUAUGUAGGACACUGCCACAGCAUGAUCUGAUGAGCGAUGUCUCAUCUGGGUCUGCACUUGGGAUCUGAAUCCACGAACCCCAGGCUGCUGAAGCAGAGCAUGCAAACUCAAACACUAUGCCACUCGGCCAGGCCCUCUAUUUGUCUUUAAUUAUGCCAUUUAAAUAUUACUUCUUGCAUGUUUCCUAGACUCCACAAAUAGGCUUAACAUUUUGCUCCUCUGUUCUCCCAUAAGAUUUUGUUGAUAAUUUUAUGAUAUACUAUAUCAUAAUAAUCCUUUUAUAUGUGGCUCACUUAUUUAUUCAUUCUUUUAUUUAUUAAUUCAGUCAAAAAUAAAAUUGCUAUAUGAAAGGCUCUGGAACAUAAUAGCAACAAGCUGCACUGUCACACUUUUCACAUGUAUUUCUUAUUUAAAUUUUACCAACUCCUACAAGAUAGAAGUUGUCAUUAUGUUCAUUUUAAAGAUGAGAAAAUUAAAAUUUGGAGAAAGUAAGUACAUGCUGAUGAUUGCAGCCACUAAGUGGCAGAACGACGCUUUCCACACAGAUCCGAUUGGUUCCAAAAACCAGACUAUUUACACACUGUCUCUCUGGGCUGCAUACUCUUCAGAGUAAAGAGCCAAGGUAAAUGCAAUAAGGUAUUCAUUUUUUUUUUAUAUCUCCAGUGGCUAUCAGAAUAUAUUGGACAUCUGAAAAGUGUUCCUGAAUAAAUGAAAGAAUGAAUGAGUGAAUGAAUAGAUGGAGAUUAUGUACUUCAUCUCACACAAUAGAUGUUCUCUGAAAAGUUGUAUAUGCAUAGAUCUUGGAAAACAAAUCCUAUUUUAAAUAGAGUAUUCUUCUAGAAGUUCUCCUGUGGUGAAUCUUCUUGCAAAGUUUCUUUUCAGCUAUAUCUGGAUUUUCACAUGGUGAGAUUGCACAUAAUGAAACAUAGCUGCAUGGAUAGAAUGACAUCAGGCUCAUGCUAUGUACUUCCAAUGAAGUAACUUCCCAUUUAGUCAGCACCGCUUAAGAGUCUAUACCACAACACUCUGACCACUGGGGGCCCACCCACAGAAAGAGAAUUUGGAGCAGGUCCAAAGAAGAGCAAUGAAAAUGAUUAAACGGUUGAAAAGUUAUCUCUCCGAAGAAAGGUCACGGGAACUGGGCCUCUUUUGUGUAGAAAUAUGAAGGGGCAAACCUACCAACAUAUUUCAAGGAUGUGAAAAGGAAUGUGCAGAGAUAUUGAAAUAUAUUGGCAAACAAAGCAUGUGGGAAGAGUAAUCCAGGUCUGCUGAGACUUCCUCAAGGAUCCAAAAGAAACCAAUUCCCGGAAAGAAGCCCACUUACCAGAGACCAACCACACCGUCUAGACUGCCUAAGUUGGUGGUAUGGGAAAAAUGCUGAAGCAGAUAAUUGAAUCAUAAUGGCAUAUACCUGCCAUGCUGUCGCCAGGAAAAAUAAAAAUUGUAUUAGUUGUAAAUGCCAGUGAUGUGAAGUGUGGUUUAACUCUGUUUUCUCCCCAGAGACGACUGUCUUCAUUUCAGUUCCUCAGUGGAAAAAUAAAUUCAAAAGGCGUCUUCACCAUACAAGGAAUUCUUUGUUCAGACUGGCUACUGACAUUCCAAACAAACUUACACUCAAGAUAAGGUUAUCCUCUCAGAGAACUCAGACGCUUUUUUCUUCCCCAUCAUCAACUUGCCAACAUUAAAAGCAGUCCUCACUUUUAGACACAAUGUGCUUGAUGCAAAUGCAGCCUCAAGAAGAUUACUGGGAGGGCAGGCCUGGCUGGUCUUGUAUUACGUCCUGAUUAUGCAUGUGCUGUCAGGUGUGAGUGGAAGCCACCAAAUGAGUAGCUAUGAUUGGUGAAAACUGAA